rnacentral:miRNA from 1 species
CAUGACACCUACUCGCUCGACGUCG